AGUGCUUUCCUGCGGACGUGCGCUGCUGCCCAGCCUCAGGCUCCAGUCCUGCGCUGGCUGCUGCUGGCUGUCGUCAGCGAUGCCGCCGCCGGCCACAAGGUGGCAGUGCCGUGCUGCGUGGCUACACGCCCCUGGAAGCACCGGACCAGCCUUGGUCUGGCAAAAGUUUUCCAGUCUUUCCAGCAGAUGCGCCCAGGCCGUGAGCCCUCCCGGGCGGCCUGGAGGCAAGGGAUCGGGUGGGGGUGGGGUAGCCGCCGAUGUCCUGGGUGGCUUUGGGGGCGAUUUGCAAAGGCAUGCAUUUGUUGUUAAGAGCUCGGAGAAACAGUUUGGGGGAGCCUGUCACAGAUGCAAAGUCUGUUGAUAUUUCCAGGAGUGUUUGGUUUGGUUUGGGCUUUAGGGACCUACAGCAAGCAUCGAUUCUCGUGGAGGCGAACAACACUGACAGCUACUCUUUGUCUCUCGUCGGGAUUCUGAACAGAGCCCGACGUCGCUUCCAUUUCAGAGAUAUAUGCCGCUGACACUACCUUGAGAGAGCUCCUGCCUCCAUGGUUCCUGACCUGCCUAGAAGGGGAGGGCGCAGGAGACUCUUGUUCUACAGCUGUCCUCGGGAUGCCCUCAAUUCCCAGGCGCAGGGAUAAGCUUGUCUGACCCCAUUUGACCCCGCCGCAGGCGCCAGGCGUCCUCAUUUAUUGCGAGGCCUAAGAGUCCUCAAGGCUUACUGCCUGCCUACCCCCCUCCCCCACCACCCGCCGCUCUUCGUUUUUUGGUGUUUUGUUUUGUUUUGUUUUGUUUUUCCUCUCCUUGUCCUGUGCGGGAAUCAUAUGCCUCCUUCCUGUUGUCUAAGCUCCCCUCUUCCGUAGGCACAAACCUGCCCCCUCUGCGUUUUUUACCUUAAAACAGGUGUUCUGAGGAUUGUCUCUAGUUCUGGCGACGUCUUGAAAGAACUGAGUCUGAGCGAGGCAGACAGACGGCAGCAUUAGUGGUGAUGGAGCUGCACUGCUAAAUGUGGAGAUGGGAGGGGAAACACACCUGGGCUUCCACAGGGCAGGAGAAGAUCUGUCACUUGGGCAGAGCCUUUGAGUCGCACUCAGGUGAUCUCCAGGUAUCUUUUGUCUGUUUUAACCUGACAUUCAUUUGCAUCUAACAGGACUCCCGAAAGAAGCCUGGUGUAACUGAGUCUGGAAUUUUUGCUGGGCUUGCUAGGUCUACACUCUCCCACCUGUGCUCCGAGGAGAGGUGUAGACUAUCUCUUGGAUUUUGCUUGGAGGAUGUCCUUUCCGGACUCAGGACCUAGGAGAGACCAGCAGGAAACAGAACAGAGUCUACAUAGGUGAAUAUCAAAGAAUCACCUGGAGAGAUUUACAGAGUCUUGGGAAGCUACGGUUUUUGUCCAUGGGGCUGAGUUGCUACACCACCCUAGAUGGUGGGCUGAGGGGCCUCUUCUGAUGAACUCCCUUCAGAAUGCAUUCCCUUCACAUCUGUUACCUCUUGCGGUGUGGGUCGCUGCUCUGUGGAAGUUGGACAGAACCCUUGGAACCUCCCGUGUGAUUCUGAAGUCUAGUGCAAACUCCAGUCAGUAAACUAAGAGAAACCAUUUUUAGUCAAAGGAAGCAAGGAACACUCCAACCAGCCCAGACUGACUUUCUUCUGUGGUUAAAAAUCUGGAUCUCCAUGUAAUUGCAACUGGGAAGAUCCUGCUGGAAGAUGUGCCAAGGUAGCCCCACAUGUUCCAAAGGGAUCGAAACUCAUUUGGAAGGGUAUGUUCUGAGAGAGAGAGAGAGAGAGAGAGAGAGAGAGAGAGAGAGAGAGAAGAAGAAGAAGAAGAAGAAGAAGAAGAAGAAGAAGAAGAAGAAGAAGAAGAAGAAGAAGAAGAAGAAGGAAGAACAACAAGAACAACAAGGAAGAAGAAGGAGAAGAAGGAGAAGGAGGAGAAGAAGGAGGAGGAGGAGGAGGAGGAAGAAGGAGAAGAGAGAGAAUUUCUUCUACUACUUCUUUAUAUUUAUGUAUUUAUUCUCUUUUGCACUUAGUGUGUAACUUGGUGCCUUACAUAAACCAUGGAAUAAUUAGGCUUUCUUCAGGAUGUAAGGAAAUUCCCUACAUCAGAGGACCUUACUAUCCAAGCUAAGGUAAGAAUGAAGUCCCAGCCGCAAGGGUGAUGGAAGGGAGACGAUGAAGAUAACAUAUGGUGGGAACAUCUCCAGGGAUGAUGGGAGAUACGGCUACAAAUGCUGCAUCCUAGGAGGAUGAAUUCUUUUCCUGUCUGCCAGUGAUCUCAGUUUUGUCAAUCAUUUCCAUGUACCCUCCCACUUCCUACAACUGCACUUAAGCCUUAGAAGAAAUAGGACAGGCAGUCUGGACAACGAGUGACACCAGGGAGUCCCUAGGUGUGUAUUUCCUUGUAUGUCUCUGUAAGUGUGGUCCCCAGCAUCCUAAUGGUUUGAUUUUGGCAGUAACUGGCUUUCUUAGGCACACCACCACUGUCGUUGUGGCAUGCUCACUAAACAUGGACUCCCUGUUCUUUGCUAAUCAAAUCUACCUGUAUACUCAGAAAUGCCACGAGUAGUCUAAGGCAGGCAUUGGCUAUGCCUACCUGUCACCUCUUUGGGAAAAAUAAAGUUUUAUUAGAACACA
rnacentral:lncRNA from 1 species